rnacentral:rRNA from 1 species
AGAGUUUGAUCCUGGCUCAGAUUGAACGCUGGCGGCAGGCCUAACACAUGCAAGUCGAACGGUAACAGGAAGAAGCUUGCUUCUUUGCUGACGAGUGGCGGACGGGUGAGUAAUGUCUGGGAAACUGCCUGAUGGAGGGGGAUAACUACUGGAAACGGUAGCUAAUACCGCAUAACGUCGCAAGACCAAAGAGGGGGACCUUCGGGCCUCUUGCCAUCGGAUGUGCCCAGAUGGGAUUAGCUAGUAGGUGGGGUAACGGCUCACCUAGGCGACGAUCCCUAGCUGGUCUGAGAGGAUGACCAGCCACACUGGAACUGAGACACGGUCCAGACUCCUACGGGAGGCAGCAGUGGGGAAUAUUGCACAAUGGGCGCAAGCCUGAUGCAGCCAUGCCGCGUGUAUGAAGAAGGCCUUCGGGUUGUAAAGUACUUUCAGCGGGGAGGAAGGUGUUGAGGUUAAUAACCUCAGCAAUUGACGUUACCCGCAGAAGAAGCACCGGCUAACUCCGUGCCAGCAGCCGCGGUAAUACGGAGGUUGCAAGCGUUAAUCGGAAUUACUGGGCGUAAAGCGCACGCAGGCGGUCUGUCAAGUCGGAUGUGAAAUCCCCGGGCUCAACCUGGGAACUGCAUUCGAAACUGGCAGGCUAGAGUCUUGUAGAGGGGGGUAGAAUUCCAGGUGUAGCGGUGAAAUGCGUAGAGAUCUGGAGGAAUACCGAUGGCGAAGGCAGCCAUCUGGCCUAAUACUGACGCUGAGGUACGAAAGCAUGGGGAGCAAACAGGAUUAGAUACCCUGGUAGUCCA